CUCUAUUAGAUAAAAAGAGCCAGAGGACCAAAAGAAGAAACAUGAGAAAGAAGCCUGCAUCUUUGUUCUGAUGAACCCUCGUAAACAGGAUGAAACCGCUCAGCAACUUCAUCAUGUGUUUACCCUGCUUGAUUAACUGAUGAAUUAGCCUGUACAGUCAGAUCAUCUUUAAACAUGUCUGACGACAUAAGUCCACAAACUUUGUCAGAGGCCAUGGCAGAGACACAGUUGACAGUGGAGCAAGGUGACAAGCACAUUGGGCAGAGUACUGUUCUUCAAUCACCUACGAAACAGACGUUCAAGUCACCUCCAAAUGACACUACUGCCGUUAUACCAGACUCAGGGGACAAGUUCGCCAGCUCCUCUCAUCAGUCCGUUUCAGAGGAAGGAACAAAGAUCGCUGGUCAAAAGGCUGAUGCUAAAAAAACUAAAAGCAAGAAAAAUAUGGCAACCUUGGACCAGAAUGCUGAAGACCAGAUUGUGAACCAGAAUAGGAAACCCGACCUACAUGGCCAGGACUCUGCGCAAACUACUGCUGUUGUUAAGGAUAUCUGUUUUGGUUCUCAAAAGGUAUCGUAGUUGUUUUGAUUUUAAGAGGAUUUUGUUUGAACAAGUAAAAAUAUGUUAUUUUCAGUUAUAGUGAGGGCCGUUUUGGUUUCUUGUUGAGGUAUUUUAUUUACUUCACUGAACAGACCGAGACCAUAGGUUCCAGUGUUGACCCAUCGGAAGUGGAGCCUAUGGAGGUGGAGCAGUCUGCCGAUGAGAAAGGAGAUGCCUCCUUUUCACCAACUAGUCCAGAUUUUAAGAUGGAACCAAAAGACAACACAAUAGUUGGAUCUGAGGUAUCGUAGCAACUUGAUUUUUUUUUAAAGAGGAUUUUGCUGUUUUGAACAAUUUAAACUAAUUGUCCCAAUACAAUUUGUCAUAAAUAUUGGGGGAUCUAUUUGGCCAUUUUGUUUCAUUUUGAGGGGCAGUUAAGUGUUAAAUGUUUAUCACAUGUUUUACUUUACUGAACAGACAGAGAGCAAAGGUGCCAGUGUUGACCGACAUGUGGAGCCUAUGGAGGUUGAGCAGUCUGCCCAUGGGAAAGGAGAUUCCUCCCAUUCACCAACUAGUCCAGAUGUUAAGAGGGACAACACAAGUGAUGCCUCUGAAACUCCGGCUGGACCACCGCCACAAAGCACAGCCAUGGUUGCAUCAGAGACAGGCAGCAUCCCCUCCAGUGUUGGCCUACAGGAGGAUGCCAUGGAGGUCGAGCAGUCUGACUUAAGGAAAGGAGACACGAAAAGUGAUGACUCUGGAACUAUGGAUGAAAAGUAUCCUUGUCCACCUCCGAAAAGGUAUCCAACGUUCUGCGAACCAGAUGUCAUUCAGUGCUCAUGGUUAUUUAAAUACCCUUCCCCAAAUACAAAUCCUGCAUACCUG
rnacentral:lncRNA from 1 species